UGGAUAGUACAGUAAGAUUCAACUUACGAGUCCGCCUGUGGCUAACCUAAGAAGCAAGCAUGCAACAACAGAUCCAAGUAAUUGGGCUAUCCAGUACAGGAUGCUCCUAAUCAAUGUGAUGUGACCACCAACAAAGGCACCAAAGGUGACAGCAGGGUUUACGUGGCCGCCAGAGAUGUUAGCACCGACCGAAACCGCCACGAAAAGUGCAAAAGCGUGCGCUAUCGCCUCAGCAAUUAGGCCAGUUGGCGUGGUCGAUCCAUUGUUUGUAAGCUUUGCUGUGGAAAAAGUCAAAAUCCCAAUGAUUUAAUUCUCGAAUUCUAACAACUUAAACUUUUAAAUGAAUUUGUACAGGAUAACUACUUACCGAAAGCCAUGCCAGAACCUUCACCAGCAAAAACAAAAAUCAACAUCGAAAUGAACUCGGCCAGGGUGGCCUUGAGGGCUUCCGGCUGACUAGCCUCGGCCAGAGAUCCGACAGCUAUUCUCGAAAUCGGCAUUUUUCUUCAAAAUUUUAACCUUAAAAACUCAAAAGAAAGCCAAUAAGCUGCCCGCCUUUACCUCUUUGUUUAGCUUAUUACACUGGUCUCAUUUAACAACAGCAGCUAUGUAUAGUGGACUAAGACAUCACAUGGCCCUUUAUUGGAUGCCACUUAGAAUUGUCCGUAAUGGGGCCGCCAAAAUAUUGUGGAGUUGCCACGUGGCAAUUUGGAUGAAGAAAAUCUAUAGCCAGCCAAUUAUAGUGUAGAAUGAUGAGAGCAAUGGAAAAUUCUGGUAGGCGACCAAAAGUACAAAUGAUUAAUCAUAAUUAGAUUAAAGCGACCGUUUCUUGAUUAUUAGUCUAGCUGAGCUUGUGAUUAUGACCUUCCUAUUGUUUAGCACAAGUGUAGAUAAUCUCUAAGAGUCUGAACAACACUCUUGCCGAUCUAUGAACGAGUAAAUUUGAUAGAAACUAGUACAAGGUGUAGUGAAUGUAAUUUCAUAAAGGAUUUUGAGGACGAAAGUGAGUAUAAAAACAAUUAUAAUUCUCUCUCUCUCUCUCUCUCUCUCUCUCUCUCUCUCUCUCUCUCUCUGUGCAUAUAUAGAUCAACGAAAUUUAGUAGCAUAGCAUGUAUUCAUCACGCGGAGAUUUUCUCUAUAGAUUCUGAAAUUUAACUUUGGUCUACAAUCUCCGUGCUUAUAAAAUAUAUACAGCUUCCAACCGACUCCAUAUUGUCUUUGUUAAAAUUAUGCAGAUCAUAAACAUGGUCUAUAUUUUCAUUUGGAGAAUUACUGGUUUUACACUUAAAAAGAUUGGUUUUCCAAUUGUUAUGUUUCCUUAAGAGAUUUAUGAAAUAUCUUCUCAUUCAUCCCAUUAGGCUAGUUGUAUUUUCUUCACAUAUAAAGACUUGACAACGUACUCAAACUUUUCGCUGUUCAUUUUCUGUGCAGGCUCUGCUUCUUAGCUAUCCAUUUUUGUGGUCGAAGCUUUACCUUCACUUAUUCAAUCAACGACGGUCAAAACUGGGUAAAUACAAAAAUAAGCAAAACUGAACUUGUACAGCCAUGUUAAGGCACGGCAAAACCGGCGCCAUGCCUGUAGAGAAAGUGGGCUGGGAAGGGGCUUGCUGUGCAUGCUCAGGCAGCUCAGCCCGGCUUACUUAAGAGUUAUCAGGCAAUUCUUCUUGGUCUGUGGAUUGUCAUCACGGAAUCUGUCAAUUUAUUAAAGAUUGUUUAUCUAUAGUCAGAAUAAGAACAUGGACAAAGGAAAAAUGUCUUUUAUGUGAAAUCUAGACAUGGUUAGACUUGUAGUUUAAGAAGUUAUUUGGCAGUGUUUUUCUGAUGAAUUUUAGCCUAGGUGCGUAUCCAAUGGGCGUUUAGGACGUGAAAAAUUACACUUGCACAGUCGUAAUUUCAUAUUUGGUAACGUAAACUAAGCAAAGCUUGACAUGAUUAAAAAAGGUAGUUGAAAAUUUGUCUAUUGUGCUUCCAUAACCCAUCUGUAUGGUGCAUUAACCUGAACUAUACGAACUUCUCGGUCAAAAUGUUUAAUAAGGAAAAAUUGAUGAUAUUGGAGAACAUCAAAUAAGAAAACUUGAAUUCCAAAGAAGCAAGACAAACGAUAACAUCAAUUAAAAGCCCGAGGCUUUAAAUGGGCAUUAGAAAAUGAAAACAAACAUUGCACAUAGUUCCUAAAACUUGAUGAAAGCAGAGAUGGAUUCUUAGUAUUCUGCACUAGUACGGAGUUGUUCAUGGCUUUGGUUAAUGAACAAGAUUUCAUAGAUCAGAGCAGCAAUUCCAGCACCGACAAACGGGCCGAGCCAGAAGACCCAGUGGCUGUCCCAUGUCCAGCUGACCACAGCAGGGCCAAAAGACACGGCGGGGUUCAUGGACGCACCAUCGAAGGCACCACCGGCUAAGAUGUUAGCGCCUACAAUGAAGCCAAUGGCAAUGGGGGCAAUGAUCCCUAAGUUACCCCUCUUUGGAUCCACUGCAGUAGCAUAAACUGUGUAAACGAGUCCAAAGGUCAUCACUAUCUCAAAAACAACUGCAUUCCAAACUGUCACUCCAGAUGAAAGUGCAAAAGCUGAUGUUUCCUGUAAACAAGAAUUGAACUUUAGCCUAUUUGUUAUAGUUAUGGACUCGACUUGACUGGAUAGUACAGUAAGAUUCAACUUACGAGUCCGCCUGUGGCUAACCUAAGAAGCAAGCAUGCAACAACAGAUCCAAGUAAUUGGGCUAUCCAGUACAGGAUGCUCCUAAUCAAUGUGAUGUGACCACCAACAAAGGCACCAAAGGUGACAGCAGGGUUUACGUGGCCGCCAGAGAUGUUAGCACCGACCGAAACCGCCACGAAAAGUGCAAAAGCGUGCGCUAUCGCCUCAGCAAUUAGGCCAGUUGGCGUGGUCGAUCCAUUGUUUGUAAGCUUUGCUGUGGAAAAAGUCAAAAUCCCAAUGAUUUAAUUCUCGAAUUCUAACAACUUAAACUUUUAAAUGAAUUUGUACAGGAUAACUACUUACCGAAAGCCAUGCCAGAACCUUCACCAGCAAAAACAAAAAUCAACAUCGAAAUGAACUCGGCCAGGGUGGCCUUGAGGGCUUCCGGCUGACUAGCCUCGGCCAGAGAUCCGACAGCUAUUCUCGAAAUCGGCAUUUUUCUUCAAAAUUUUAACCUUAAAAACUCAAAAGAAAGCCAAUAAGCUGCCCGCCUUUACCUCUUUGUUUAGCUUAUUACACUGGUCUCAUUUAACAACAGCAGCUAUGUAUAGUGGACUAAGACAUCACAUGGCCCUUUAUUGGAUGCCACUUAGAAUUGUCCGUAAUGGGGCCGCCAAAAUAUUGUGGAGUUGCCACGUGGCAAUUUGGAUGAAGAAAAUCUAUAGCCAGCCAAUUAUAGUGUAGAAUGAUGAGAGCAAUGGAAAAUUCUGGUAGGCGACCAAAAGUACAAAUGAUUAAUCAUAAUUAGAUUAAAGCGACCGUUUCUUGAUUAUUAGUCUAGCUGAGCUUGUGAUUAUGACCUUCCUAUUGUUUAGCACAAGUGUAGAUAAUCUCUAAGAGUCUGAACAACACUCUUGCCGAUCUAUGAACGAGUAAAUUUGAUAGAAACUAGUACAAGGUGUAGUGAAUGUAAUUUCAUAAAGGAUUUUGAGGACGAAAGUGAGUAUAAAAACAAUUAUAAUUCUAUUUCUAAUCAUAAUUUUCACUUAAAAUACAGCUUAAGACACAUUUUUAGGACAUAAAAGGCACUUUAUUCAGUGAUCAAAACUUGACAUUUUAAACUUCAGUGACCAACCAAAGAUAUGGGAGUAAGUUCAAUGACCAUUGGAACAAUUAAUUCCAAAAUCCUAAUAUUAAAAUAUCAAAAAGAAAGUGAAGAAUUUUUUUUUUUUUACUUGGUUGAUGAGAUUUUAUCCCUAUCAAAUUUCGUCACAUCAUUUGUUGGUAAACAAAUUUGUACGUGACAAUGUACAUUUAGCACAAUCCAUCUUUAUUUUACAUCUUUAUGAAAUUCAUAAUCGCUUAGACUUCACAACCCUACUAGAAAUGGAUGGUUGUGGCUUGAACGCAUGGUUGCAAUGAUGGUGGUUUCACUAUGACGACAUUUGGGCUUAAUGGCUUGAACACUAGAGGUGGCCAUGGGUUGUGCUCAUCGACGGUGGUGGAGGGAUUGGUUUGAAACAGCGUAACAUAAUAUAAUAUGUUAUGUGUAACUAAUUAUGUUGAUUUUUAAUGAAAAUUAAAAUGUUAAUUAUGGUUAGGGUUGAACAAAACUCUCGAAUCGAAGUUAAUCUGAACUGAGUGGUUUUUCUUAAGUUAAAUAUUUGAACGGGUAUGAAGUAUCUGAAUCAAGAACCGACAGAUUUGGUUCGAUUCUUGGUUCUAAACGAAAAAUCGAAGAACCGAAUAAGAACCAUAUCUCCCUAAUUUUUUAAUUAAUUAAUUUUAAAUAAAUCAAAUUAUUUUAUUUUUCUAAAUAAAUUUGCUAACUUGUUAAUUUAGUUCAAAUCUAAAAAUAUGAUUUUCCUAUUUCUAAUUUUCAGGACAAAGCCAACUUAAUCAAAUUUACCUAAGUUCUAUCCAAAUCUGUUACUCUACCGUAGUACCGUUUCAAUUGUUCUCGAGAAAUCGAAUUAAAGCUCGACAAUUCCCAUCUUAAUUAAUUAUUUUGAGUUAGUUAUCUUUCUCUUCCUGUGAUUUUAACAAUCAAAUUUAUGAAGAAUUCAGCAAAGAGAUACGGAAAAGACACAUAAGAUUGGAUUACGUUAUUUUGUAAGAAUUAAGAUUGAACAUAUCAUUGGUUGAAUUAAUGUAACUUUGUAAAUAUUAAAAAAUUUAAUUAUAAUACAGAACUUGGGAAUCGAAUGAAACCGAACCGAACCGAAUCGAACGAUUUUUUAAUUAAAUUUGGACCCAACGGUUCCACUUACUAAAUACCAAAAUUUUCGGGUCCGAUUCGGUCCCGGCCAUGUCCAACCCUAAUUAUGGUCAAGCAGGAUAAUUUAUUUGUAGUAUAUUUGUGUGAGGUUGGUUUGUAAUUAUUGGUGGUAUAGCUAAUGAGUGUGUUUUUACUCACAAGUUAUACACAUUUUUUAACUUGAUUAUUUGUUAGAUCUUAUAAGCAUAGAAUUUUUUCAUGUGUUUACUAGUGUUAUUUUAAAGGUUAAGAAAGGUGAUGUAGAAAUGGUGUUAAAGUGAACAAUCAAGUCAAAGACAAAUUUUGGGAUAGCAAGUCUGCGCCCAUGCACUACGAACAACGAGAAAAGUAGAUUUCGAUAGAGGUAACGCCUCGAUGCUGCACCCAUAGCACCCAGGCAUUGCAUACAUAGCGCCUACACUGUGUUUCAUAGCACCUAGGCGCUACACUAUAUUUUAUUGCGGUGCUUGGGCAUUACACAUCCUGUUUUAGGGUUACAUUGUUUUGGCUCGUGAAAAGCCCAUAGAGACUCCAAAUUUGGGGAAAAAAAAUGAAGGGGAGUAUAAAUAUAAGAAUUGAAGACUUCAAAGGGAGAUUCCACACAUUAAGAUACACAUAACACAACUUGAGAAUUAGAGGUAAAUUCAAAAGAAAAAACAACAAUACCGGUUUGAAAUCAAGAUUUGGAACGAGAAGACGAACUUGGUGUAAGAUUCAUCUAUUUCUCUACAUUUCAAUUCAAAAUUCGAUAAUGUACUCCAUUAUUGUUAUUUAUUUUUCUUCAUCUAUCAUGAGUAGCUAAACCUUAUAUUAGGGUGAAUAAUGUAAUUUAUUUAGGACCAUUUAUUUCUUUUAUUCAAGAUUCUUGCUAUUUUAUCAUACAUGUGUUGAUUUUGCUAUGAGAUUGAUGCGUUGAAUUACUUGAUCACUAAUUUGAUGAUUUUGUGAAUUUUUUACAAAUCGAAAGGUGAGUUUGAGAUUUAAAUCAUAUAGUAAAAUCCGAUAAAUUAAUAUAAUGUGUAGAGAUACUUACACUGAUUAUUGUGGUCAUUAUAUGAAUUCUUAGAACUAGUAUUUCGUUUAACUAAAGUUGAUUCGUAUAGAAAUAUGGGAUCGAACUAGUUAAAUAGGCUUAAUGAAAACUCAAGAGAGGUAAAUUAAAUACAAUAGAAUAUUUCAGUCAAACACUACAUUAGACUUUUGAAUCUUGAAUUGAGAUUUAAAGGUGAUUAAUAGGUGAAAUUGUUCUGCUCUGUUAAUAGUUCAUUAUUUAAGUUAUAAAUCAAUCUUUGUGUGCAUGCAUAUGUUUUCAAGUAGUUAUAUUAAAAUUACAACAAAUCAUUAUUUUUAUUUGUUUUCAUUAAAUAAGAAUUAGAAAUAGUAAAUUAAGUAUUAAAGACUAGUUCUUGUGGGGACGAUAUUCGGACUCAUUAGUCCACUUUAUUAGUUGUCAUGAUAUCGUACACUUGCAAUAGAAAAAUACAACAAUAAUUGAUUUUAUGUUGAUAUAGUUCCCUAAAUCACAGUUAUAUGGACAAUUAUUUUCCAAAACAUAUUGAAUUUGAGAAGAUAUUUUUCCUCAAAUAUGAAGGUAACAUUGUUUAUUUAUCUAGCCCGAUGUAGUUUUCCUGGAUACAAAUUAGAAUAAUUAGGUCCGAGUUGCCAAUCCUACAAAUAACUGAAUAAGUUUGUCUUACCAUCACAUAACAAACUGUCAUUUGUAUAACGAUAAUUUUCACUAUGAAUAACAUUAUUCCUUAUAAAUAUGUUGCACUUAUAACUAACUGGCCAUACUGCCAUUUCUUUUCUACAAAUAAAUUAACAUAUUAGAAAAUUAUAUUCAUGAUAUAUUGAUAUUGAAUAAUCAAAAUUAAUUAUGUGGGGUCAGGGCGGGGUUUAAAAUUAUCAGUUUUUUCAAUUACCACAUAUACUCGUCGUUUAUUUAUUUUAGUUCAGAUGGGCACUUCACUUAUUUGGUCACGAAUACUAGAAAAAACAAGGGUAAACUCUUACCAACGGUCAUUGGCUUCCCUUUUGUGCUUGGAGAAGUACGUACAGGAAUUUUGUUUAAUAAGAUUACAUAUAUAAUGUUAUUUUAUGUAAUUCACACUUUCGAUCUAAAAAAGAAAGAAUUAAUAAGUACUCUUUGUUUUAAGAUUUUCCUCAUUACAGCGAAAAGAUUGAAAAUUACUCAAAUAGACAAAUGAUAGCAAGUAAAAUGUUACAUUCCUCAAAGAUACAUAAAAUGUUUUGUUCUUAGUUAUGUACGUGGACAAGUAGACAACAAAUUCCAUUACAAGUCUUCUCUUACGGGGCUUAUGUUAUCCAUUCUUUUCUUGGUUUUCAAUGUGUGUUGACUCAAAAGAAUGGCGAAAUAUAGAUUUGGUGCACCCUAUGACACCUAUAGACAAUGGAGGAUCUUUUAGUUGUGCAUGUUAAGGUAAUUCCAUUUAAGAAGAUAUUGACAAUAUCUUUUAUAACUUGUCAAUAUUUCCAUUCCCUUCUUCAACAUCGGUAUCACAAAGUUACCAAUUUUUUGCUCCUUAGCGUUGGUACCUACUGCGUAAAUAGGGAGAAGGACAAUUGUUUAACACCGAACAAUAAAUAUUCUAUAUAAUUUUAAGCACCAAAUUGUGUUAUCUUUAUUGCAACUUUGACAUAAACUAUUAUUAUUUGAAAAUUUAUACAGCCAAAAAAAAAAAUUAUUAUAAAAUGAAAUAAAUCCACAACAUUAUAACAAGACCAGUUCCAAUGUACGUGUUCAUAACCAAGAGGUAGAGCAUUAAAAUUUGUAAUUUAUUAAAUUCAGAAGAGUUUAGUUGUAUGAUUACUAGAAUAGUGAAAAAAGUGGUUCACCGAUCAAUGCCCCAGAUAAGUCUUCAUUUUAAAGUACAAAUAGAAAAUGAACUCACUCUUUAUUUUCGGAGCUUAAUUUCAAGGAUUUAUUCCAUAAAAUAGAAAAUAAGAUGGCGAUUUAGAGGACAUUUAUGGUUAAAUUAGUAAAGUUUUUGAAGCCAUAAAUAAGGUUAGGUUUAGUCAUUCACCUACUAUAUAGUAAUUGUCUCAAAGUAAAUAGUUUCAAGCCGCCUUAAAAAGCGCGCUAAGCCAACUUCCAAGCGCUAAAAGAAGAGAUAGCAAGACUCUCAAUCACGCUUAUUUUAGGACAAGUUUCAAAAAAAGUGAUGAGUCGAGUUUAACUUGCCACAAACUUGAACAGUAUUAACUAGACUCAUUGACGAUCGUAAGUCACCUCGGGACUUUCUAGACCUCUUUGACUCCACUAUAAUGAUAGCUAGAAUAAUAUCAUGAUAGAGGCAAAAAGCAAACAGAAAAAGAUGGAUAAAAAAAUAGGAGACAUUGAAUAAGAGUAUGAAACGGGAGGAAAGUAUGUUGAAAAGGUAUUCAUAAAGAGCUACCUUUUAUAACUAACAAAACCGCGUAAUGAAUAUAUUGGUUUUAAAAUUCACCUGGGAUAGGAAAAGAAACUCAAUCCCUAUAAAAGGAAUAAAAUAUAAUAAUUUGUUCAUUGACUAUUAUUGAGAAAGAAUUGCUUGUGUGUGUGUGUUGUGUUUGGAGGGAAAAUAUUAUAAAUAAAAUUUAUAUGCAGUAAUAAAAGACAAGGUUCUUCAAGAAAUGGAAAGGAAAACAUUUCAUAAGAGUUAUGUGAUUCUAAUUCUUUUGGAAGGUUUUCAAAUUCUGUGAAUUGGGCAGUGAGAAAAAAAUAAUCAUUUCUUUAUUUUUUAUUUUUUGCAAUUUUCUGCUAUAUAUAGGUUGAAAUCCACUUUCUUGAAAUUCCCUUUUCCCCCAAGAUUUUUUUCUUCACCAUUGUUGAAGAGAGAUGGAAGAAAUGGUUUCUUUAUGGAGUUAUCAAGACGUAGGCCACUUGCUCAUGGUUGAUUAAUUUUCUUGUUUUGCCUAGGCAUAUUUACUGAGAUUUUUUCAAGUGUUUAUAUUCUAUGCAAAUUUGUUCUUAUUGUGGCUAUGAUCCUGCACACUGCAUCUUUUUUAUGUUGGCUAUGAAAGCAUUUUGGAUGCUUUUUCUUUGUCAUAGUGUUUGUAGACAUUUCUCUAUUUGCUCGUCGCACUCCCUGCUUUUGUGCAUUUGUGUCUGUCUGUGUGGAAAAUGGAGGGCUUUAACACAUUUGGGAUGCAAGAAUAGUCAUAAGAUCAAGUAAGAGAGUCGCAUAAAAAUUGUUUGAGGUUUUUUUUUUUGUUUUUUCAAAUAAUUUUUUUUUUUUCUUUUUUUUUUUUUUUCCUUUUUUUUUUUUUAACAGAAUAUUGAUGAAAUGAAUCAGAAGCUUAUGUACGCGAUUCUUGAACUUGAGAAAUUGAGAGUAGAUGCAAGCGAGGAAUCGAGGAAGAACAAGGAAUACGUGAAGCAAUUAAUCCAACUCCUAAACAUUACCAUUCAAGAAAGAGAUGAAGCUCGAAACCAAAUUCAGAAACUACUGGAGAAGUUUAUGCUAACUUCAUCAGAUAAAAGCUCGAAUAUUCUUCCACUGUUUCAUGUCGAUAAUCCUCCCCUAAAACCCCGCAAAACAAAUUCUAGCAUAACUGAGUCUACUCUGUCCAACAUUUCUUCUCCAGUUGAUGUGCUUUAUCAUGCAGUAUCAUCUCCUGAAUUCUCAAACUUCAACAUGCUUUCAACCAAUCAGGUCACUUCGAGUGUCUCAAAGAUCGAUUAUGCCUCUUUGAUUAUUGACAACCUUGCCAAGGGAAAAGUUCUGCCUCAGACAGGAAAAUUACUUCGGGCUGUUGUUGAAGCCGGCCCACUUCUUCAAACACUUCUGGUGGCUGGGCCGCUACCUAGGUGGCAAAAUCCUCCCCGGAUUCAGCCUUUUCAGAUUCCUCCAGCUCCUAUAAAAGGCUAUGAUCAUGAGAAUUUUGCCCAGAUGUCUUGUGGAUCUUCGCAAAUUUCGUCAGCACCUAUGUUAGAUAUCGCAAAUGUACCACAGGGAUCUAGUUUACACAAUGGUUUAAUGAUGUCUACCUCGACAGAUGCUUACAAUUGUAUACCUUUAUCCAAGAGACGCAGUUUCUACUGAAAGUUCAAAGGAGAUCGUCCUUCCAAUCUUUCUAUUCACGAGCCCGGUGGAGGUGUAAUUGUUAUUGAUUUGAGCUUAGAUUCUAUAUUUCAUAAAAAUUCAUUUCCUUCAGUUAAACAUCCAUUUUUAUUUUUAAGCUAUAUUUUACAAUCUAAUCCAGUUCCUGCUGCUGCACUUUCUUGGACUUGAUCCAUUAAGUUUUCAGGCACUCAUUCGCAAACUUAUUUUAUUAAGACUAUUAUUGGUUUAAUUACCAACCCAUAAAACAUCUUAUUUUCACUAAUGGAGAUGACAAAAAAUGCAUAAGAAAAGUCAGAUUUUGCUGUCAUAUGUCAAUAAAAUGAGUUCAUAUGAUCGAAUUUCCGACUCUAGCAUAUUCCACAUCAGUUCCUUGUUAUCUCCUUUGUACUUGUUAAUUAAAUAUUUGCUAUAGAUUAGGACAAAUUCUUUGUAAUUUCUUAGUAAUAAUCAACUGUGUUAGCUGUUUCAUUUAAUCAUUGUAGACUUCAAAAAUAAGGUCUCCUUGAUUAAUACAUUCUUAAAUUUUCAGAAAACUUUUAUAAUGUUCCAAUCCCCAACACCUUCUCCAGGGAAUGAACUUUCUGACUGGAAUCCAUGGGUGAUGGUUUCGGUUGCCACGGUUUGCAUCAUAACCCUUUUCUUCAGUUGUUUUAGGAUUCUACAAUGACAAUGCACGCCAUCAGUUCAAAGACAAUUCCUAGACGACAAUCCUGAAGCUUCUCCUUCGCUGCAGUGCGAGAGCCGGGGUCUUGACUCCUAUAUUAUGCACUCAAUUCCCAUCACUCAGUUUGAGAAAAAUAAGGAUGAAGAAUCUUGUCCAGGCAAUACAGAUUGUGCUGUUUGUUUGGGUGAAUUUGAAGAGGGGCAAUGGGUGAAGCAUUUACCAAAUUGCUCUCAUGUAUUCCAUGUUUCUUGCAUUGAUACAUGGUUUCAAACACAUUCAAGCUGUCCACUCUGUAGAUCGUUCGUCUACAAUCCCGCGGUGCAGCAUGAAUGUUCAGUGUCGAUUUACUCAUUGCCAGGAACACUACAUCGCGAAGAUUUCCUUCGAGAAAGAUCCGAAAACUACCAUGUUUCUAGGGCACAAAUAUUACAACAUGUUUCAAUUUGAAAUGAUACCGAAAAUGGCGGUUGAAUAUAGUAGCAGACUCAGUCAGUUUAUGUUUUCCAGAAGACCAUCAGUAACCAAUUGAAAAUUUUUCGGAAACAGUUCACGUAAACAGCGUAUGAUUCGGAGUACGGUAACAAUGGACGGUGCAAUGAACAAGAUUUUAGCAUUUUUCAUUUUAUUUAAUAAUGUCUAAUACUAUAUAAUUCAACGUCCCAAAUAGUUCCCCUGUUUGAUCCCUCAGUGGAUCAAAAUAACCCACUUUUCGACGAUCUUUUCCCUCUGUUGCUCACCGGAGAAAGUCUGAUCACUAGUCAAAAUGGUUUAUGGAUUUUGAACGGUUAGACUUAACGAGAUAGCAAUUAUAACCCAAGUAAUGAUAGGGUCAAUUCAUGGAUUUUUCUUUCUUUUCUUUUGCCUCAUUUCACCCAAAGAAGUGAAGGGGCGUUGAAAUGGAAUAAGGACGAGAAGCAUUAAGCUUGCGUCGAGCUAUUUUUCUACAAAAUCUUUAUAUUGCCAAUUAAGGCAAGAAAUGAUGUAAUCCAGCCGAAUGAUUUGAGUAAUCACAUUUUCACAUGUCAAAUUAUUAAUGAAAAAAAAUAAACGUGACGUGGUAAAUAAAAAUAAAUUCUACUGCCCCUUUCCCUAUUAUAUAAAAAGGGGAAUGUGAGGGUACUGUAGAAGCAACAGUGUCUUGAUCCAUUUUUAUUAUAAUAUUUUUGUUUUUUUUUUCAAUUGGGGGCCAAAACAACACCGUUUGCUUGAUAUAUAUUUUGUUAUAUACUACCUCCAAAUUUACUGCAACACACAAUUUUCAUUUCUUCCCCACUUCGAUAUAGAUAUAUAUAAUAGGGAUAUAAGAAAAAAUUCACAUUUUUUAUAAAAAAAAAAAGAUAUAGAUAAUAUGCGACAUAAUUUUUUUUACAACAUAUUACUUGUAAGUAAAAAAUUUGAAGAGAAAAGAAUUAAAGAGAAUUUUAAAUUGAAAAAAAAAAUUAUAACGUAAAACUACACGACAAAAUAAAUAAAUAAUCUCUCCGUGCACAAAAGCUUUUGCUCCGUGCACGAAGACAUUAGUCUCCAUGCAUGGAGACACUUUCUCCGUGCAUGAAAAAAAAAAUAAGAAGGACUCCGUGCAUGGAGAGAGAAAUAUAUAUAUAUAUAUAUUUAUACUUAUGUUUUUGUGUUUAUUUUCAGGCUCAUUGCAGAAUAUCAAACGAAAUUGAAAUAUUACAUUCUUAAUAUCUUUUUGAAGUACUCGCGGCAUAGUAUUGCACGUUGUUAACGAUGCAUGAAACGAUCAAUCAUAACAAAUAUUAUGGGACAUCAAAGUAGGCAUUUUCAAACUAUAUUUCGAAAUUUUCAAUAACAAACUAACUUUAAAAAUUUAUCGACGAUUGUACGAUAGUCGAAUCAAUGAAUGUUUUACAUCCUCUCGAAACUCAUUUUGAGAACUAUAUUGUAGAGAUAUCGAAUGAUCUAAAUAAAUAUCAAAAAUAGUUAAACGAACAUUAAACAUGUGUUAAAAAAUACGCAUAAAUCAAUUUUCUUAAAAAAUCAAUUAUUUUAUUACUAUUUCGAAAUUUUUGAUAACAAGCUAAUUUUAAAAAUUCAUCGACAAUUGUACGAUAGUCGAAUUAAUAAAUGUUUUAUAUUUUUUCAAAAUUCAUUUUGAGAACUAUAUCGUAGAGACAUCAAAUAAUCUAAAUAAAUAUAAAAAAUAGUUAAACAGAGAUUAAACGUAUGUGGUAUGACGAAUUUUUUUCUCCAUGCACGGAGUGAAUAUUUUUUUUUCCAUCAUUUUAUAUAUUGUAUUAUUACUAGAAAAUGAAAUUUUAUUUCAAACUAUUAAAAAAUACUGAUUAAUAAUAAAAAAUGUGAAGAAAAAAAUUAAAAAGAAUUCUAAAUUGAAAAAAUUAUUAUUUAUAACGUAAAACUACACAGAAAAAAAUUCUCAAAUCUAAUUUUUUAUUUGGAAUUAUUAAGAGAAAAGAAUUAUAAAUUGAAAAAAAAAAUUAUAAUGUGAACAACAAAAAUUAAAAUUCUUUUUAAUUCUUUUUUCUUUAAAUUUUUUACUUAAAAGUAACUUUUUGUAAAAUAUUUUGUUAUUUUUUUUAUAUAAAAGUAAUUUUUUCUUAUAUUCCUACUAUAUAUAUCUAUAUAAGAGUGAUUGAGUAUGGAGUGGUGGGAGGUAUGAAAAUUACGUGUUGCAGCAAUUUCUUACAGUAUAAUAAAAUAUUUUAAAGUAAAUUUUUUUAUAUAUUUUAUAACUAUAAAAUUAAAUAUUAUCUGAAAUUAUUAAAAAAUAAAAAUACUAAUAAUAUAAGAUAGAAAAUAUUUUUAAGAGGUAAAAAGUUACUUGUGAGUAAAAAAAUUAAAGAGAAAGAAAUUAAAAAAGAAUUUUAAGUUGAAAAGAAAAAUUAUUUAUAAUGCAAAUCAAAACUAAGUUUCUGUUUAGAAUUAUUAAGAGAAAAGAGUUUUAAAUUGAAAAAAUUUUAUAAUGUAAACAACACAAAUAUUUAAAAAAGAAAAAGUUAAACGGACAUUAAACGUAUGUGUUAAAAAAUACGCAUAAGUCAUUUUUUCUUAAAAAAAUCAAUUAUUUUAUUACUAUUUUGAAAUUUUUGAUAAUAAGCUAAUUUUAAAAAUUUGUCGACGAUUGUACGAAUCAUAAAUAUUUUACAUUCUUUCGAAACUCAUUUUGAGAACUAUAUCGUAGAGAUAUUGAAUGAUCUAAAUAAAUAUAGAAAAUAGUUAAACGGACAUUAAAUGUAAGUGUUAAAAAAUGCGUAUAAGACGUUUUUUCUUUAAAAAAUCAAUUUUUUAUUACUUUUUAUUAUUUUUUUCGCAACAUUUUUCUUAAUACAUCAUUUUGCUCAAAAAAAUUAUCGGUAUGACGUAAUUUUUUUUUCAAUUAUUUAAAAUUUCAUUUUUUUUCCAAGUGAAGAACAAAAACGACGCAUUCCUCCGUGCAUAGAGUGCGUGGAUAUAUCUAAUAAUUUCAGACAAUAUUUAAUUUUAUAGUAAUAUUUUUAGUAAUAUUGAAUUUUUUUAAAUUAAAUUUAUCUAAUGCACGGAGACCUUGGUCUCCUUGCACGGAUUCGUGCACAGAGAUAGACAUGAAUAUUUUUUUUUUAACUUAUGUUUUUGUAUUCAUUUUCACGCUCAUUAAGGGAUAUCAAACGAAAUCGAAAUAUUACAUUCUUAAUAUCGUUUUGAAGUACUCGAAGCAUAGUAUUGCACGUCGUUUACGGUGUGUGAAACGGUCAAUCAUAACAAAUGUUAUGGGACGUCAAAGUAGGCAUUUUCAAAUUAUAUUUCGAAAUUUUCUAUAACAAGUUAACUUUUAAAAUUCAUCGAUAAUUGUACGAUAGUCAAAUUGAUAAAUGUUUUACAUUCUCUCAAAACUCAUUUUGAGAACUAUAUCAUAGAGAUAUCGAAUGAUCUAAAUAGAUAUCAAAAAUAGUUAAACGGACAUUAAACGUAUGUGUUAAAAAAUACGCAUAAGUCGUUUUUUCUUAAAAAAAUCAAUUAUUUUAUUACUAUUUCAAAAUUUUUGAUAACAAGUUAACUUUUAAAAUUCAUCGAUAAUUGUACGAUAGUCAAAUUGAUAAAUGUUUUACAUUCUCUCAAAACUCAUUUUGAGAACUAUAUCGUAGAGAUAUCGAAUAAUCUAAAUAAAUAUCGAAAAUAGUUAAAAGGAAAUUAAACGUAUGUGUUAACAAAUGCGUUUUUUCUCAAAAAAAUCAAUUAUUUUUCUUUUAAUUCUUUUUUCUUCCAAAUAAAAUUAAUUUUUCAGUUUUAACGAAAAAUUUAUUUGUAUGUUAAAAAAAUUGAAGAGGAAAGAAUUAAAAAAAAUUAUAUAUAGUGUGGUCUCCGUGCACGUAAGAUUAUUCAAAAUUUUUUUUUAUACUUUUUCGUUCUCCAUUUUCAUAUGCUAUGGCUACGCCUUUUCAAAUCAACUCAUUUGUUUAUAUUAUUAUAUUAUAUAUAUAGUGUAGGUUUUUUUUAUCAAUUUAUUUAAAUUUCUUUUUAAUUCUUUUCUCUUUCAAAUAAAAUUUAUUUAAAUUUUUUUUAAAAUUCUUUUGCCCUACCAACCUUGGAGUGACUGUUGUAUCGUCCGAAAAAUAGGUCUGCUGUUAGGGUUUUAAUUCUUACACCAACAAGGGCGUUGGUCAUCCAGUAAGUGCUACUUCAAGUUAUUUUAAUUGCAAUUAUAAGUAAAAAAAAAAUCACUUUUAGUAAAAAAAAAAUUAAAAAUAAACAUAUUAACAAAAAAUAUUUAUAAUAUAUGUAAAAAUUACUUAUAUAAGUAAAAAAAUUCUUUUAAAAUUAUUUAGAAGUAAAAAAUAAAAUAAAGUUAUGAAAAUUGAAUGAAGAAUAUAUAAAUAUUAUUUAAUUAUUGAAAAAUUUACUUUAUAAAUAAUUGUUUUUUUUUAUCAUUUUUUUUUUAAAUUUCUUUUUAAUUCUUUUCUCUUUCAAAUAAAAUUUAUUUAAAUUUUUUUUAAAAUUCUUUUGCCCUACCAACCUUGGAGUGACUGUUGUAUCGUCCGAAAAAUAGGUCUGCUGUUAGGGUUUUAAUUCUUACACCAACAAGGGCGUUGGUCAUCCAGUAAGUGCUACUUCAAGUUAUUUUACUUGCAAACCUGAGUUUGUUAUUUAAAUAUUUGUGUAUGUGGAUAUUCUCUUUCAAUUUACAACUGCAUGAGUUAUUUUUGAACUACAAGUAUAGCCUCUCGAAUCGAAAUUCCUAAAGAAAAGUAUUUUGCAAAAUUCAAUUUACAACUUAUUUGUAAUAUCAGAUAAAAAAAUAUAUCUUCAUCUACAUUAAACAAAAAAAUAAAAUAAAUAAUUAAAAAUAAAUUAUCGUUGACAUAUAUACCAUCACAACAUUCAUUAUACUUAUUUAUAAGAAUAAAAAUAAAUUAUCGUGACAUAAAAUAUACAAUCGAUCAAAAAAUGAGAAUCAAACAAAUAUUUUUUAUUUCUAAAUACUUUUUGUACAAUCUAUAAAUUUUACUCUAAUAAAACCAAAACAAAUAUCGUGCAACGCACGAAACGCUAGUUUAUAAAAGCUUCAUUGAUUACAAGCAAUAAAAAUCAUCUUAAACUUAACGUAAAAUUUCAGGUAAAUCAAACAAAAUAAAUGUUGGUUGACCAGUGGGCCCCAGUUCUUGUCUGACGUAGCUCCCUUGCAAUAUUAAUAAAUUUAUAAACCUAGACAAAAAAGAAAAAAGCCCGCCGGCUCUCCGAUCAAAUCAGAUCAAACGUCGAAAAGCCCAACGAAUCUUCUCUCACACUGGUACUAAGUUCACAAAUUGACUUCGUAUUACAGCUACUUCCCGCGUACUGUUCCGAUUCUUGGUGAGUUUAUGUAUGUCUAUGUGGAUUCUUGAUUUUGUUAAAUAUAUUGAUUCUAAUUAUUUCUAUAUUUUUGGGUUUUUGGUGGGUUGCUGAUGUGGUGAAGAGGGGUGGCGGAGGUGGAUGGUAUAUGGCGGAGCUGCUGCGGAAAUGGAAAGAGAACAAACUGUUCAAAGUGGUUUUUGCGGUGACUGGAAUCAUGUCCACUCUCGUUGUCUAUGGGGUCUUACAGGUAAAAUUCUCUCAUUUAUACCAGUCAUUAUUUUGGAAGCCAAUUACGUUUUUCGAGUUUCAGUUGUAAUCACUAGUAAACAGCACAUUAAAUAAUUGUUAAUGUGGGUAUCAGAUUUGUAAAAUCUCUUUAUCUAACAAUUUUAUAAAAACUCGAGUUUCCCUUACUGGAACUGAUUAUUUGCUUUGGGAAGAAACGAAAAGAUAUGUAGAGUGAAAGGGCGCGUAACGCACCUGUUUUAUCGUUUAAAAUUCCAUAGUUUUGGUAAACUUUGUAGUAGCUAUACUGAUAAAGGCACUUUCAUAUUCACUGACCACAAUUCCGAAAUUUUCUUAUUGCUCUAUGUAUCCAGUAUCUAUUCGCAUUAUAAAUGAGAGAUCUUAUAAAACAAAGUAUAUUUGAAUGCCUAAGCUUGUUUUAGCUAAUCUUAUGAAUCUUUUCCAGUUUCUAAUUGACUGAGAAUGGUAACUGGUUGAUACCCAAGCACGAUCAGAUAUUGAAAGGAGGUCAUGAAAUUGAUAUCAGGGUGCGGUGGUGGUAUUUUGGAUGCUUUCUUGGAGAAAGUGGUGGUUUUGAUGAUCAAUUUGGCGUGACAGUUGUGGCUGUGAUCUUGAUAGCUGCUUAGCAGCUGCCAUAGAUUAGAGUUGAGUUCAUAUGUGAAAACAGCAACGGUGUAAAAUUUAAUUUUUUUUAAUGGAAAAAACUAAUGCCACUUCGGAACAACCCAAAUUGGUAAGGAAGUCGUUCAAUUUGAAAAGAGGAAUUGUGGAUGUGCACGCAUCCUUGUGCAUGCUUGUAAAAGCCAAAUAACAACCCAAAAAUGUUUAGAUUAAAGUCAAUCCGAAAAAUAGAGAUCAUGCAACAGUGCAUGUACAUGCUUCUAAAAGCAUUGUCAUGUAUUUCAUUGGGAGUGCUGUAUGGUUUUUCAAAGAAUUGAAAUUGGUAUUAGAAGCUAAUUUACCUUUCCUUGAACAUAUUGAAGCCAAGUUGUGGAAAAAUUGGUUUGGAUGUUUGGGACACAUUUAAAUAACACAGAUAGAUGAAUUAAUAAGGAAACUGAUGUAAAUUAAUAUUAAUGAUAAAUUUAGAGGGUGAUAACAAUCUAAAAUAACUUAUAUGAAAAUAAAAAUGGUAAGUAUCUUUGUGAUUUAUUUGUGGGAAGUCACUCUUGUUAGGGUAGAUUGGAAGAAGAGAUGAACCAGGGGACCAGGACAAGUAUUAGAUAAGAUUUUGAUGAGUUGAGUAGUUAAGUUGAGUUGUAUAUGCGAGGAGAAGGAGAAAGAAAAUGUCUUGCAAGAAAGGGAUAAUAUAUCCAAAUGUUGCAUUUUCAGUGUUGUUACUUUGCUUAUUUCUUAAUGAGCAGAUGGUAAAGAAGAACAGAGGAUUAUCUAGGUAACCAUGCACUCUUUUUCUUGUGGGAUAAGGAGUUUGAUUAUUUUUCUCCAUCACGGUCUAUAUCUACAUCCACGCUACUUGUGCCUCAUCAUUUGGAUACUUUGUGAGAAUGUCUUUCUGGCUGCUUUGUGCGAAUGAUCACAAAGGUUUGAUCUCUGGUUUGCCUAUCUGUCGAUCUUCUAAGAGAGGUCAUAUUAAUAUGGCUUAGUUUAGUAUGUUUUCUCCCUUUGAUAUAAGAAAUAUUCUAUUACCAUGGUUGUUAAUUGUCAUUCUUAUUAUGGUUCAGAAACCGAAAUUAUUUUGACAUAAAUUAAAUGAAAUUCAUUACUUGCAGGAAAAGAUUAUGAGAGUUCCGUAUGGACCGCGCAAAGAGUACUUUAAAUACUCACUAUUUCUUGUCUUCUGUAACCGCAUUACAACUUCUGCUGUAUCUGCAGGAGUUUUACUGGUAACUACACUUAGAUGCUUGAUUUAUCAGUUUUCUUACUUUUAUGAAGCUCUUACAUUUUAUUCAAGUGUCCUGGACCUGUAAAACCUCUACAUAUUAAUAUGAUUCAGUCCUGCUGCCUUACUGCUAGGUGGGUAUAAUUCACCAAAUGUAUGAGUUAGAUGUCAAGACAUUUUUAGUAUAUUAUUUGUAUGUUCAUUUCUUCUCGUCAUUCUCCUCUCUAGGCGAGUGGGAAGGCCCUAGAUGCUGUUGCUCCACUUUACAAGUAUGGUAUCAUAUCAGUGUCUAAUAUACUUACGACAACAUGUCAGUAUGAGGUAAGCUGUGCUUCCUUCUGCUGAAAGACAGAUUGAAGAUACACUGGUUUUCAUUUUUUAUGCAUAAACAUGUUCUUUUAUUUAGUUAGAGUAAUUGAUAUUUUGUAUUUACUUUUGAGUUUUUAGAUGGAGAGAAAAAUCUGUAACAUGAAAUUUUCUGGCUAUGCUUGCUCCAGGCACUGAAAUAUGUCAGUUUCCCUGUGCAGACACUGGCAAAGUGUGCCAAAAUGAUACCUGUAAUGGUAAGAUAGUAUUACAGUUACUCAUUGAGAAACCAGAAGUACAGAACUUUAGUUACCCUUCUGUUAAUAAUUGCCAUUAUUUUGUUACGAAGGCUUAAUUUAAAAUUUCUAAUGUUCAUGAGUCUUCUUUGUUUUACCCUAAGGUAUGGUUUGGCCAUUUGGCCAAUAUUGUACUUGCUUGAAGCAUUUGCCAAUUUUUAUGGUCAUUAAUUUCCUGUCCCAUUCAUUGCCUAUGAAUGUAAUAUGUGUAAAUUUUUCUUUUGAUCUAGUUUUUUCGUCACUAUUAUAAAUUUGCUGUGUUUCUAAUCUUACUUCUUUGAUCACCUUUCAAAUGGAGAGUACGAUGAUGACCACCAAAUGCUUAAGAUUGAAUAUUGUGUUUAGCAGCAUCCACAGACCAUUCUUUAAUUUCUUGUUGAUUAUUUUACUCUUAAGUCAAUUGCUUGUUUUAAAGUUUAAAUGUGUAAGCCAGGUAUGGUACAAGUUAGAUCCUGACCAAUAUGAAGCCAUAGUAAAUUAAUCUUAUCAAGCCAAUACAAAUCAAUAGUGUGCCUCAUAGAAGUUAUCUUCUUGCUUAUUUAUUAAAAAAAAAUUAAGUUUUCUUCUUGGUUUCUUUUUAUACAGAGUUCAUUUCGUGUGCAUAUGCAGUUCUACUAACAUUUGCAUGCAAUGCAUUUUUAUUUUUGUACCUUUCCCUUCAUUUUUCUUAAUUUUCUUUCCCCCUCUUCCCAUGCAGAUCUGGGGCACUGUCAUCAUGCAAAAGAAAUACAAUGGGCGUGAUUAUCUACUUGCCUUUUUGGUGACUCUUGGAUGUUCAUUGUUCAUUUUAUACCCGGUUAGACUCUCAUUCAAUUUUUGGAAUUGAAGUGACCAUGUCAAACACUAUUAGAUUUGCAUCAGUAAACAAAAAUUUGGGUGCCACAGAUUUCUUGGUGUCAAUGAAUUUUGUAGUAUCUUAAUAUUUUUUGGAUUUGUUUAAUCAUAUAACUGUAAGAAUACAGACAUCAAUAGGCAUUUGUUGUCGGUUACCUUUAUAGAUAGCUUGUCAAGCAAAAAAAGUUUCAUCCUCCAAGGUGCAUUUCUAUAUACUUUGUGAAAUAAUAAGUUCCUACAUGAAAACGAAUCUUGCAAGACAUUAUUUCUUUAUAAAUUUUUCUUCAUUCUUCUUUUCUUUUUUCCUCCAUCUUCAAUAUAUAAGGAAUGUUGUUGUAACCAAGGACUUGAAGGGGGUGAAAUGCAUAAGAUUAGAGCAGGUUGAAUGAGAUGGAUUAGUGCUAAAAGCAAAAGAUGCUUAUAAGGUCAAAAGUCGGAUUCUACAGAUUCUGUAAAAUGAGUAUUUGACCGGUUAUUUGAUGAUUGGGUCGUCAAAGGACAAGAUAACGGCAAGAUGAACAUAGGGAAAAUGAGGAUGCUAAGAUGCAUGAUUGUACUAGAAUGAAUAAGAUAAGAAAUGAGAAUGUAUGCCAACAAGUGGAGGUGACAUUAAUUGAUGAUUAUUAAGGGAAUUACGGCUCGGAUAGUUGGGGCAUGUCUUGCAUGAAACCUUUAAUUGAUGAUUAUUAAGGGAAUUACGGCUCGGAUAGUUGGGGCAUGUCUUGCAUGAAACCUAAAGAUGGAAGUUUGUGAUCCUAGUUGACGGGCUACAAAGGGGGGGGUGGGGGGGGGGUAGUCCAAAAUUUACAUUGCUUGAUGUAAGAAUUUGAUUGCAUUGGAUCUUUGAAUAUAUGCAGACCCCAAUUUUACUGAGAAUAGGGCUUAGUUAAUUAUUGUUUCUUUGUUUUUGGAGCAUUAAGUGAUAAUAUAUUUGUGGGUGAUCACUAUGUAUUGAUCUUGUUACAGUUAAUUGAUGGGAUGAUGUAUGCGACUAAUUAUAUUGCACUUGCUUAUUUAGUAAUUAAUGAUGAAUGGUUUUACUCUUUGAACUGUAGGCUGCAGGUGAUAUUAGUCCUCAUAGCAGAGGAAGGGAAAGUACAGUUUGGGGCGUUUCCUUGAUGCUCGGUUAUCUUGGGUAUGGUAUAAUAAUUCAUCUACCCUCGUAUAAUCAAAUGGUGAACCAAAGAAUUUACUAGUGUUACCAGUUGGGACUGUUUCGAUCAUUUCCAAUAGUAUAGUGGUGGGGAUGGGAGCAUUUGAAAUUAAAUGAGCCUAUGUCAUUUUCCCGUUUCACUGUUGUCAUUUUCUCUUUCUUUUCUUGGUUUCGUGGUAUUUUGAAUGCAAGGAAAUGCUUGCAUUUUCCAAUUACACCCUUAAAAUCGAUUUCAAAAUGGAGAUCUAAUGUGAUCUGGCUAAAUGCCACUAUGUAUAAAUAAUUAAGAUAUUACUUUAACCCUGGCUGUUUAACAAGGUUACGGGUAAUUUAUAUCUGUUCCUAACUUUUACUUUGCUAACUUACUCUUGCAGGUUUGACGGCUUCACAAGUACAUUCCAGGAUAAACUUUUCAGAGGUUACGAUAUGGAGAUACAGAAUCAGAUAUUCUAUACAACAUUAUGUUCAUGUAUACUCAGUUUCACUGGUAAGAUUAUGGUUUCAAUCAGUAUCACAUUUCUUGUAGUUUUCAAACUUGUCUUGUAGCUGCAAAUUUUUACAGAUUUUUUAUAUUUAUUAACUCCAACUGUUGGAAAAGAAUGAUCCUACAUCUCCGCUAAUAUAUUUUAAUUGUUCUUGUCCAAUCUGGAUCGUUAACUCAUAGUGCGCCUCUAAUGUUUGUUUUAUCCAAUGUUGUUUUGAUUCAAUGGUUCGGCUUAUUUUGUAUAGGUCUAAUCUUACAAGGCAAUCUUCUAACAGCAAUAGAUUUUGUUUCGCGGCACAAUGAUUGUUUCGUUGACAUUUCAAUCCUCUCAACUGUAAGUUAUGAAAGUACAGAUUUUCUUCUUUUCUUUCAUAUAUUGAUUUGUUCAAGACUUCAUGCAGCAUUUCUUUUGCUUAUGUUCAUCUAUUUACGUUUAUAUCUCUUCGUAGUACAUAAUGACUACUCCUGUACCAUUAUGAAGUCAAUGUAUUCCUCCUAAUUGAAGAAAAAAAAUUCACGCGUUACCCAAUCAUAUAUUACAGGUUGCAACAAUUAGCCAGUUCUUUAUUUCUUACACUAUCCGAAAUUUCGGCGCACUAACCUUCGCCACCAUAAUGACCACGAGACAGGUAUAUAAAUAAUUCCCAAUCCUAUUUGACGAGAAUCACCUUUAAAAAUGAUGGUCUUAUCGCAUUUCUUCUAUUUAUACUCGCAAAUGAUUCGUGUUACUUUUCUACUUGUCAAUACAGUUGGUGAGCAUUCUUCUAUCGUGUGUGUGGUUUGGCCACCCACUUAGUGUGCAACAAUGUGUUGGAUCGGUAAGUCUAAAACUAAAACCCUAAUUAGGGGCAUGGACAAUGCGCAGUAUUGAUACUUUAUUUCGACUGUCUAAUCCACUUCACUGAACGUGCUAUAAAUGUUUUGACGAUAUCAGAUUCUUGAUUGUAUUUGGUUGCUCAGGUUAUCGUCUUUGGGUCCCUUUAUGCAAAAAGCUUCUUAAGGAGUAAGCCAAGGCAAUUACCCUCAGAACAUGCUGAAAAUAGAGCUUCGAGUCCAUUGAGGGCAAAUGCAUAAUACAUUAAAAGUGCCAGUUGGGACUUAUGUUGAUUAAUUCAACUGUUUGUUGAAAGAUGGAUCUUUUGAGACAAUUCGACCAAAAAACAUCUUGGAUUUAUGCUAACAGAGGUUCAAAUGCUUUCAGAAUUUCUCUGAAGUGACCUACUCCUGAUAAUAGAAUGAAUUAGCACACAUAACAGAAUUUUUGGCAUGCUCUUUUUGUAGCUGAAAUAUUUAUCAGUUCUCCAGAUAGAUAUGUUGGUCUAGCAGAAACCCUUCUCUAUUCUUGUUCACAAAAGGUGGAUUAUGUUGUACUGAGAUCACAAGAGUCUCUCCCGUAUUAUUUAAUUCUUGUUUUGAACUUAUUGCAAAUUUUCCCAAAAGAUUGCAAUGAAAAAGCUUAUUUUUCUGCACCAACUUAUUAUCUCUUCUCUGCUGGGAAGCAAUGUGCAUUAAGGUUAUCUGUGAUGUACUAAUUACAUAAAUAACUCUAAGAACAAGCUAAUGUAAUACUAAUACUUAAUAACCAAACAUAUUUGGACAUAUUUAGUGUUUUCUUAUAAAUAAAAAUGUUAAUUAAUUUUGAUAGUUAAAUAGGAAAUAUAUAUAAAAUAACUUCAUAUUUUAACUUCAAUCAACAAAAAAUAUUGCUUAUUCUAAACAUUACUUGUUUACUUGUAGACAAACAUAAUUCAAGUUUGUUUUAUUGAUCCAAUUUCACUUAUAAAGUUACUUUUUAAGUGACAAAAUUUAUUUUUAUUAUAAUGUAAAUCUUAUUUAUAAGUCUAUAUAUUUGAACUGUUAUCUGAGUUAUAAAAUUCUCGCUGCUUAUAACUAAUCUAUAUAUUUAAUUAAUUUUAAUGUCUAUCGGUGGCCUUAAAAAUUCCCAACAAAUACACCCAAAACACAAUAAAUCCAUGCAUCUAAUCCAUCUCAUCAACUCCAUGCUAUGUAUUCCGAGCAUUGACUUACGCCCCAGACGGUUGCGACCGAUCCGUCUCGAUAGCGGCCGUACAAUAGCACGGGUAACGCGUUUCAACAGGACGGAAUAGCUUGCGCUAGGAGACGCAGGUAGAUUCGGUAGGGGAUGCAAGCAAACUCAGGCUGGGGACGCAGGCAGCCUGUUGGACAGAACGCAGGUUGCCUAAAGUUGGCAGUUUUCUAGCACGUUAAUGAAGUUUUUCUAAGUCCCGAAUCAGCCAUUUUGGAAGGAAAAAUACAUGAACAUGCAACCGGAUAUUUUGGGGAUUAAGUGGGCAACUUGCACAACUUGUCCACUUGUGCCACUUGCAAGAUAUUGUCUAGAUGCAAGCUAAGAUCGAGUUGGUAAGGAUAAUAUCAAGAUGCAAGUUAAGCACGAGUUGGAUCCACUUGCAAGAAAAAUGGUAGAGAAUGUCCACUUGAUGACAACUAAACAUGAGUUGUAAAGUGGAAUAUAACUUGUCAAAAGAGGUUUAAAUCAACUUGCAUCCAAUGAGGGCCUUUGGAUCAAAUAAAUUAUGACCAUUGAUUUGAAAGCAACUUGCAAGGUUUUUGCUUAUAAAUAAAGAUGGAAGUCUCAUAUGUAAAUCAUGUAGAGUGAAGUGAGUUUAUUCAUUAGAGAAAUUGUAAAAUUUUUCCUUUCAUUUAUACAAAAAAAAGUUUCCCCAACCUUACUUAUUUUUCAUAUAUUCCUUACUCCAAAUUUUUUUUUUUCUAAAAGUGGUUAUAAUUUAGUCUCAUUGGUUAAAUUAUUUGAAAGCGUGAAAAUGAUGGCUUAACGUUUUCUCGUGAGGGAUGAGAAUUGUCGAACAUUAAGGCCGCACGAUUCUAGUUAUUCGAACUGUCCUCGACAAUUGGCUCUAUAUAUUUCGCUGCCAAACUGUCCUCUAUCAACUAACUUCCAGAAUGCACACUUUCCCAACUCCCAAGUAUCAGAUAGCAUAAAGAUUUCAGUAUUCUUAAAAAAAAGGUUGAACCCCAACUUUAGGGGUUCCCAUCGUCCUGCUCCUAGAGCUUUGUGAAGGAGAUAAAUCGUGGGAUGUACUCCAGCAGGCCAGGAAACAAGAGCUGUCCAUACACUAUGCCUACAAAGAGUCCAAUUCCAUGUUUCAGGAAUCGAACCCCCACACUGUAGCUGCCAGCAAGGCGUGAAAUAACCUCACUCCUGUCCUUUGCACCAUUAGGCUAUGCCCUAAGGGGCAGAUUUCUGCAUUCUUGAAUUCAUGGCUACCCGUGUUUUGAUUUCAUUUCACCUCAAGGGCUUCUUCUCUUUACACAUUCUGGCACACACGUUAACAUGUGCAGCCUCGGCUUGAAUCCUUGACGAAGAGGUGGCCGCCCCGUUGGUGCCACUGAGCCAUCUGAUCCUGUGGAAACACCAGUAUCUGUAGCUUGUGCAGCUCCUGGUGGUGCAGCUGUGGGAACUAGUCCUGCACCAGGAACUGAGAAUCCUGAUCAUACACUCUCCUUCUUUAUUCAUGACAUACUUGGUGGGUCCCUCCCUUCAGCCAUCGCCGUGACUUGUGUCGUAGCCAACCCGGCUGUCAGCGGCCAGGUCCCCUUCGCGAAGCCUAAUGGCACCGUCCUCCCGGUUAACAAUGGAAUCCCAGCGAAAAAUGCCAAUGGUGGAAUCAUCAGCAACAACAACAUUCCCUUCCUCACCGGCCUAAGCGGAUUCACCGCCAACGUAAUGGAAAACAACUACGGGAACAACAUAAUAGGCGGUGUCCCCGGGUUCCCUGUCCUAGGCAGCGCACAAUUCCCUUCCGGGACAACCCUCCAGAAGCUCAUGUUCAGGACAACGACAGUAUUCGACGACAAAUUAACAGAAGGGCACGACCUCGGAUCAGGCCUGGUUGGAAAAGCGCAAGGCUUUUACGUAGCAAGUUCAGAAGAUGGAAAUAGCCAAACCAUGGUUUUCACUGUAAUGUUUACCAGUGAAAGCUAUGUUGAUAGUUUUAGCCUAUUUGGCGUACACCGGCCGCAGUUGCCGAAUCCCAUCUUGCCAUUAUGGGUGGCACAGGGAAGUAUGUUAAUAUUAAGGGAUUUGCCACCGUGAAAACUUUCCUAGCCACAAAACAGCACGAGACUGAUUGAGUUGAGACUCUGCUGCAGAUCAAUGUGUACCUUGCUUAUUAGUUCAUUAAUGAAAAUUUGAUGUUUUAUUUGUGUGCUUAUGGAUUCCGUAUGAAAAUUGUUAUCAAUUGAUAGAUUAUGUAUGAUUGCCAAAAAAUCAUUGUAUAAGCUCUGGUUUUCAGCUGCAAUUGACUGUUCUUUAGUUUGAUAAAAAGUGAGAAUUUCAUUGCUAAAUUUACAUAAAAUAAUUAAAUUCUAAAUAACAUUGAUGCGAUUUUACUAAAAAUCGAUCGCAUCAUUCAUAUGAACGAAAGUUUUUUUAGGUCAAUGUAAAAUUACGUUCUAAUAACUUAAGUUGUCGUUCUCAUAAUUUAUUCUCAAUUAGUAUCACAUCCAUGUGGAUAUACAUUCUCAUUUCGUAUCUUAUCCACUUUGUAUCCCACACAUCUAAUGAAAAUAACUUACAACUCGUGUACUAAAUUAGGUUAAGGAUAAUAGUUAGGUUAUAAUCUCAUGACCUCCACCUUAUUUCUCAUACCAUAAAAAUCAAGAACUCAUUAUCCUUGGACAUUUUAUUUCUUAACAAAUUUUCAUAUCACAUACUGAUACUAUAUUCAUUUAUUAUAAUUAUCAUCAUUCCUUCUAUAAAAACUAUAUAUAUUUUUUAAUUAAAACAAUUUCUCAUUGGCGCACUUCCAAGUUAAAAUUGGGCCCAUAAAUUUAUAUAUAAUCCCCUGAUGGAGGCCCCAAAUUCUGUUUUUUUGGUAUUUCUUCUCUUUGUUCAUCACCCGUCCGUGAGAUUUGGUCAAAAGGAAAAUAAAAGUUAAUUCGGUUUAAAAUAUCGAUAAAGAAUGUGAAAUUAUAUGGUUCAUUUAAUUGUACUUUUUAUUUAAUGUGUCAUAUAAACUGAUGUUGUAAUGCUAAAUAAUAUUACACUAUGAAAAAUAUAUGCUUUUAUUUUUAUCCCAGUAGCCAAAGAAUCAAGUCUUUCUGAACACCGUGUCAUAACUUCGGUAAUAAAGCUCAGAUUCUGUUCUUUAGUUCUUGUGCAAUAAAAGAAUUGCAUCUGAUGACCCCAGAUCUUGUAAUCCCAAACUCAAUCCCUGAACCCCGACCUUGACAUUACCCAAAACUACGAAAUCAAGGUCGGGCCUUUGAGGUCGGGGUUUGUAUGUCAACUCGUCGGUCCUUCUUAACGACCUAUGAGUGCACUAAUUAUACUUAAGCCACAAUCCUUACCCUAUUUGACUUCUUCUUCGACUCAAACAAUGGUAGAAUACUAGGAAUGAAACACUAACUCCUUAUCCUACGAGGAUAAGGAUCACACAAAGAUAAGUCCUUCUAGGACUCUAUCAUUAACACUUAUAAAUACAUAACUCGGGCUCAUUCUUGAGGUACGUUUUUUAUUAUUUUCAGUUUACAGCUUCGCGCACUAAAUUCCCUAUCUGACUUAAGCAUCGGAGAGGCGACGAGCACACACCUCGUUGCCUUUGUUGCAGGUAUUCGAAGGCCGUUCGUGUUCAUCAAAGUUCGGAGUUCGAUCAUCAAGUUUGAGAUCUUUUAGAUACUAUUUUUCGGUAGCAUCAUUGGCACCGUCUGUGGAAAAUCGCUACCUAAAGCCAUGGUCAAUACACGUUCAGGUCUUCCUCCAGCAAGCUCAUCCGUCCCGGAUAACCCUCCUCCCCCUGAGGAAUGCUAUAUCCCUCAAGAAGAAUCGUGGGAGAUGCCAACACCUCCUCAAGCUGUUGUUUCUGCCGGAGCUAUUGAGGAACUUCGUCAGCAGGUGGCUACAUUAACCCAAUUGUUAAACCAGAGAAAUUCGCACCCGUCGCAUACCCCAACCCUCGAAGGUGGUUUUAUGGUAGAUGCCCGAGCUCCAGUCCAUCGUACAGCUCAUGAUGACGGCGGGGUUGGAACUUCAGGCGCACCGCAAGUGGCUUCAGGUUCAAGGUCCGUUAUAAUGAACUCGGCUGAACUUGCUAGAAUUAUUCGAGAAGGGAUAACAGCAGGUAUGCAACAAAAUACUCAGGCAACAACAGGGUUCACCCCCAAUACACCAUUCACUCCAUAAGUCCUCUUGCAUCCCCUUCCCGACAGGUUCAAGUAUCCUCGGAUAAAGGAAUACGAUGGGACAACUGACCCUAUCAAUCAUCUCAACGUGUACACGGAUAUCAUGAACUUACAAGUUGCACUUGAUACAGUAAUGUGCAAGGCAUUCCCUCAAACCCUCACAAACACAGCUAGAGAUUGGUUUUCCACAUUGGAACCGAACUCUAUCACCUCCUUCUUAGAUUUGGCUGAUAAGUUCUCCACUUUCUUUGCGAGCAGCAAGUGAGUCAGAAAGACAGUCGCAUAACUCAUGCAGAUGCUUCAAGGACCCAAUGAAACACUACGCAGUUUCAUGAUCAGGUUCAAUAGAGGAAGCUUCAAAUCCCCGAUCUACAUACCACCGUUGCAGUCUCAGCUCUGACAUACGCCCUUAAGUGUGAAGCAUUCAAGAUGUCCUUGUCUAAGACCCCGCCAAAGUCAGUCACCGAGCUACUUUCACAAGCUGAGAAGUACAUCAAUAUGGAAGAAACAAUGGCCCCAAAAAGAUAAGUUUCUUCAUCAGGAAGGUUGGAUCAGAAAAGGCCGCAUGAGUCCAGUUUGAGACAAGAUACACCUCGGGUUAAGCCAAGGCAGGACCCCUCCUCAACAUCCUUUACCCGUUUAAACACCUUGAGGUCCAACAUUUUGAUGGAGAUUAAGGAUUCGAGAGAACUGAAGUGGCCUCCCAGAUUGCGGUCUCGCCCUGAUACUCGUGACAAGAGUAAGUACUAUGAUUUCCAUAGAGAUCAUGGACAUACAACGGAAGACUGUUUGGCCUUAAAGUGGGAGAUUGAAGCUCUUAUAAAAAGGGGAUUUUUUGGCUCUUACAUCAACAAUGACAAGCGCCCGAGGAAUAAUCAGAAUGGAGGCAAAGGCCCAGAGGGUCGGGAAAACAAGCAACCAACUGUAGAUACAAUCAAUAUCAUUGUCGGAGGAACAGCCUCGGAGAGAGAUUCUAGCAGUGGGCAUAAACAAUAUGCCAGGCAGCCUCCAAUCAUCUCAAAAUCAGAUCUGAUAGACAAUGGAAGUGCAGCUAAUGUACUGUCUCAUGAAGCCUUUGUUCAAAUGGGGAUCUCAUUGGAGCAUCUCAAGCUAGUCAAAACACCCCUCUAAGGAUCUGGAGAUGGGGUCAUCACCCCGAAAGGUAUCGUCGGGUUGCCUUUAACAUUGGGGGCAAAAGGUAAAUAGGUAACGCAGAUCUCCACCUUUGAAGUUAUUUGUUCUCCAAUGGCCUACAACGCCACAUUGGGAAGACCAUUGCUCAACAGAAUUAGAGCUAUUCUCUCAACUUUUCACUUGGCAAUGAAAUUUCCUACAAGUAAUGGAAUUGGGGUAGUUCGAGGCAACCAAACAGCGGCACGAUAUUGUUGUGUGACUAGUGUCCGAAGAAUCAAGGGCGACGUCAUACACGUUACAGAGCUCGAGCUCAAGCACGAGAUCCAUGAGAGACUUGCUCUAGUGGAGGGAUUGGAAAGAGGUCGGGCUUGAGCCUGGCAAGAAAGAGAAAAUUAGACGGGAGUUAGAUACAGUAGUCAUGAUUGAACUGCUGAGUUCUCUCUCCCGCAACAUAUAUAUAUUCACUUAGAAUGUUGAGAACAUGCCUAGAAUCAACCCAGAAGUUGUGGUGGACAUACUUAAUGUAAAUCCGAGGGCAAGACCUGUAAAGCAAAGGAAAAGGCAAUUUGCACCAGAAAGACAAGAAAUCAUAAAGAAGGAGAUUGCCAAACUUGUUAACUCACAAUUCAUUCGGGAAGUACAAUAUCCCGAUUGGCUUGCUAACGUUGUUCUUUGUCAAGAAAGCUAAAGGGAAAUGGCGAAUUUGAAUUGACUUCACAGAUUUGAAUAAAGCAUGUCCCAAAGAUAGUUAUCCUCUACCUCGAAUUGACAAUCUUGUAGACAGCACGUCGGGUCAUAUGCUGUACAACUUUUUGGAUGUUUUUUUGGGAUAUCACCAAAUACUCAUGGCGGAAGAAGAUCAAGAGAAGACCUCAUUCAUGGCAGACUCAGCCAUCUAUUGUUACAGGGUCAUGCCUUUUGACUGAAGAAUGCUGGAGCAACGUAUCAAAGGUUGGUAAACAAGAUUUUCGUCGAAUUAAUCGGGAAAAUGGUCGAAAUAUAUGUGGAUGAUAUGGUGGUUAAGAGCAAAUGGGUGAAUGGCCAUGUCUCUGAUCUUGAGGAAGUGUUUGCCAAGUUAUGGAGGUACAACAUGAAGCUCAACCCUGCAAAGUGCGCGUUUGGGGUGGCAUCUGGAAAGUUCUUGGGUUUUAUGAUCACACACAGAGGAAUAGAGACAAAUCCCGAUAAGAUCCAAGCCCUGAUAAAUAUGGAGGCCCCUAAGUGCAAAAGGGACAUUCAGAAGUUGACUGGUCGCGUAGCAGUACUGAACAAGUUUGUUUCCCGGACAGCUGAGAAGUGUUUCCCCUUUUUCGAACUACUUUGGGGAAAUCAAAGCUUUAACUGGAACAAGGAAUGCAACUUAGGUUUUCAGGAGCUCAAGCAGACGUUAUCAAUACCUCCAGUCUUUACCAAACCCGAACCCGGUGAAACGUCGCUAUUAUACUUGGCCGUUUCUUAGAAUGCAGUAAGUGGGGUCUUGGUGAAGGAGAAAUGAAGAGUUCAGCAGCCUGUCUAUUAUGUAAGUAAAGUACUCCUUGAUGCAGAGACACGAUACACACUUGCAGAACAGCUCGCCCUCGCUUUGGUAAUAGCUGCCAGAAAAUUACGAUCGUACUUUCAGUCACAUCCAAUUGUUGUGCUCACUAACCAACCUCUUAGACACAUACUCCAGAAGCCAGACGUCUCAGGAAGACUGUUGAAAUGGGCAAUUGAACUUGACGAAUUUAACAUAGAGUUCAAGCCACGACCUGCAAUCAAAGCUCAAGCUUUGGCUAACUUCAUAGCAGAGCUCACUCCGAGGCACUUGGAAACACAGGUUAAAAGCCCGAGCACGACCGUGAAAAUAUGAGAGAUCUUUGUAGAUGGAGCAUCCAAUAGCUUGGGCUCGCGGGCUGGCGUCAUCAUCACUAGCCCACACAAGGCUACAGAUAUACAAUGUGCGAUCAGAUUUGAAUUUGAGGCCACCAACAACGAAGCAGAGUAUGAAGCCGUUAUCAUAACCCUGGAACUUGCAACAAGUCUUGAGUUGGAACAUGUCAAAGUUUUCAGUGACUCACAGCUAGUGGUCGGGUAAAUCGAGGGGUCUUUCGAAAGAAAGGACGAGAAGAUGAGCUUAUACUGUCUGAAAGUGCAUGACCUUUAAAGGCAGUUCGUAAGUUGUGAAAUCCUGAAGGUGGCUAGAGCUGAUAAUGCCAAAGCUGAUGCAUUAUCCAGACUCAUCUUUAUGGGUAUGGACGGGCUCGAUAGAACCGUACACGUCAAGAUAGUUGCAGAACCCAGCAUAACUCAAAAGCCAAGUGUCAUGGACAUCGAUCGUAAGCCUUCCUGGAUGGAUCCAAUAGUUGAUUACAUAAGAAAUGGCAACCUACAGGCAGACCUUCGACUUGCUAGAAGCAUUCGAUAUAGAGCUGCUAGAUAUUGCCUAAUUGAAGGAGUCCUGUUCCGCAGAAGUUUUAUACUCCCUUAUCUAAGAUGUCUCAAACCGUCCGAGUCUUUGCAAGCCUUGACUGAAGUUCAUGAAGGCAUUUGUGGAAAUCACCAAGGAGCCCGAGCUCUUACCUAUAAGUUAAUAAGCUAUGGGUACUACUAGCUAAGUUUGAAGAAAGACGCUGCAGAUUAUGUUCGAAAAUGCGACAAGUGCUAAAAGUUUGACAAUAUCAUACAUGCUCCUGCAGAGGAGCUAACUUCUAUUCAUUACUCAGCUCCAUUUGAACAAUGGGGAAUCGACAUUCUUGGGCCAUUCCCCUUGGCCAGAGGGCAAUUAAAGUUUGUAGCUGUGGCAGUGGAGUAUUUCACAAAGUGGGUAGAGGCUGAACCACUAGCAAUAAUUUCGGAGCUGAAGAUCAGAUCAUUCAUAUGGAAGUCCAUGAUAUACAAGUUUGGAAUACUGAAAGUCCUCAUAACAGACAAAGGAAGGCAAUUCGACAAUCCACAGUUCAGGAGCUUCUGUGCCAACCAUGGAAUUGAUCAUCGCUUGACCUCGGUAUCACACCCACAAAGUAAUGGGCUUGCCGAAGUAACCAAUCGGAUCAUACUGCAAGACCUUCGAACAAGAAUAGGGGAUGCCAAAGAUGACUGGCCUAAUGAACUGCCUUCUAUACUGUGGGCAUACAGGACUUCGCACAAGAUAGCAACUGGUGAAAUGCCUUUCAUGCUUGCCUUUAGACUUGAGGCUACCAUUCCUAUCGAGGUCAGCAUCCCCACGAUAAGAAAGCCCGAGAUAAAUAUGGAGAGACAAACUACUGAGCACCUUAACUUUCUUGAAGAGAUAAGAGAGCAAGCCUCACUUAGAGCUGUAAAUUAUCAGAAUAGAACGGCGAAGCACUUCAACAACAAAGUCCAAACGAGAAGGUUCAGAGCUUGCGAUCUUGUCCUUAGAAAAGCAGAAGUUGCCGGACACCAACCAAGGAAGCUCGAACCAACAUGGGAAGGACCUUUCGAGGUCAUGAGAAAACUAAAAGGUGGAGUCUAUAGCUUAAGAGACAUAUCAGGGAAGCCAGUCCUAAGGCCAUGGAACGCCGAUAAUCUGAAAAUUUAUUACAAGUAACUAGCUAUAGCUAUAAUUUUUCCAUUUAAGGCUUGCAUGCCCACUUUAUGUUUGCUUUAUUUCAUUUUUAUUUUUCUAGCUCUAACGCCCUAACAGCUCAUGCUCCAAUAAGUUCGGGUAUCAACGCCCUUGAGCCUUUUUAAUGAUACACAAAUUUUUUUUACGACGUUGCUUCCCUAUUAACAAAAUUAGCAUAAGGUCGUGCUCCACGCAUGCAGUGAAUACCUUAACAAAAUUAGCAUAAGGUCGUGCUCCGCGCAUGCAGCUAAUACCUUUACAAAAUUAGCAUAAGGCCGUACUCCGCGCAUGCAGCUAAUACCUUAACCAAAUUAGCAUAAGACCGUGCUCCACGCAUGCUGCUAACACUCGACCAAUGAAACCAAACACACGACCUCAAAUGGCAACAGGUUGAGCAUAACAACCCCGACCUCUUCGAUCCCAAAAUGCCCUCCCAACAAAGAAUUUCGAGAUCGAGAUCGGGGCAUGAAAUAAGUUUACCUCACGUGGCCACACCCAAUCUUAUCCUUUAAAUCAUCAACGACCCAUUGGUCCCCCCUCAAUAUAGUAAAUUGAAAAAUCAGUAUCCAACACUAGUACUCGAACUCUUGACCCCAUAACAAUACAUCUUCAAACUUUGAAAUUGAAGCCCAAUUUUUAAAGUAAAAGGAUUGAUCUGUCCAAAGUUUUCAACGAUCAGUAUUGUUUAGACAUACCAUACCCUCGAACUCUUACACACACUCGGGCUAUGAACGUCAACAUUCGAGCUAAUUGGUUGCAACAUGCGAUCUAUACUAACGAUUGAACUCUUAAAAAUUAGAACAGCUCGAAUUCAAAAUCAUAUUGUUCACAUAUGAACAUAAAAUCCACGCACGAUCUCAUAACAAAGGUAAGUCGCAUGAACUAAGUAACAAAUUGCAAAACCCAAAUCGGGCCAUAAACAUCGAAUUUCAAAAGCAACAGUAAGAAAACUCGGGUCGGGCAAUGUACUAAUACAACUUUAAAAUAAAAUUCAAGGUCUACGGCCUAAUCAAGCUCGAUAGUGUCAACCCACCCUAGUCGGGGGUUCCAUCAUCAUCAUCAUCGCCAUCACUCUCAUCCUCGACCUCGGAGGUGGAAAGGUUGAGCUCGUUUACAAGCUCGUUCACCGUCCUAAGCUCUUCCACCAUCGACUUCAGGUCGUUGGGAAACUUCUUUCUCAGGAGAAAGCGUGCAAGCCACAGCCCAUAGUGAUAAGACCUCAAACCAUAUUGCCCAAGGAGAGUCUCGAACUCGUCAGACUUCUUAAAAUCUUCGAAUUACCUGAGUACGAGCUUCUUCUCGGGCUUUCACCAAUUCCUCUUUGAAGCUCUUUUUAGCUUGCAAGAGCUCGAGCUUGGCCUCUUCGGCCUCAUCUCUAGCCACCCCGAUUUUUUUCUCGAGCCUUACAGAGGUCGGGCUUCGCAUCGUCUCGCUCCUUUGCAACCUCGAGAGUCCACCUUUUAGCCUGAUCUCUUUCCUUCUCGAGCGCUUUUAGUUGGCUCGAGAUAUUUAGGCCAUUCAAGGUAAGACCCUUUGCCACACUCAGCAUCUAUACAAAAAGAAAAAGAAAACUCGACGUCAGUACGAUCAAUGGAACAUGAAACUAGAAACAUCGUUAAGGUCAAUAUCUUACCCUCAAAGUCAAGACCUCCAACGUCUUGACACCUUCAUGAAUGUUGACCUCUUUCUCAAACCAGUCAACGAGGUCCUUCACCAAGGCGCACUCAGAGUACUCCUCGAGAGCACUAUCAGAGAUCGAUGAAAGCCUGAAUUAGCCACGCCCUGGCAAUCCCGAGCUCAAUCUUGCAAUUUGGGCAUUUGCUGGGGAGGGGAGGUCGGGCCCCUAGACAUCGAGGUCUAACCUUUCAACUGUACCUGGGGUUCGAAGGUUGGGGUCAUACUAGUACCGACAUUCCUGGCCCGUUUCUUCUCAUUGGAUUGGGCUGGGGCCCUUGGCCUUAUGAUGAACAUUGGCUAGUAGUUUAGAUGGGUCAAAAGACAUCUCCAAAUCUGCAAAAAUGACAAACAGUUAGGCUCGACCUAAAUCUCACAAACAACAAGUGAAAAGAACAGGGGAGGAAGACCGUACCCUCGAGGCCUUUGACGUUUGCCAGAUCGAUGGUGUCAUCCUCGAGGAGAUAAUCAAUCUUUUCUGUUAGGGGGUUAUGAUUCACUAAUCUCAGCCUAUCCCAUUCUAGAACUUCAAAAUAAGCCUGACCCUCAUUAAACCUAUCUCUGUCUGGAACUUCCCACCUCAGGCUAAAAGGGUGAUCGGGAUCGUGAGGUUUGACAAAAAAGAACCGCUCUUUCCAGCCUCGGAGAGAGCUCGGGGACUCUGGAGUCCUAAAUCCCCAUUCGGUAGACAAAUAUACAAAACAAUUAUACCCCGACGAGAAUUUCAUGUCAAAAACCAUCUUCAAUAGAUCAAUCCUAGGCUCAAUCUCCAAGCACCUACAAAGGAUAAAGAAGUAUACUAGGAGCCUCCACCCGUUCGGGGCUAACUGACCCAGGCACAAAUAGAAAGAGGUCAAGAAAUGGAUGAAGAAGAAGGUGGCGAGGCCAUCUAAACCCAACCCUAAGGGCAUCCCUAAAAAAUGUCAUCUCUCCCUCUCGAGCUCCGAUUACGGUUUCGGUUGGCUCGGGGGUUCUAACAUCACACAAAGGCAUGACCCCAAAUUCCUUGGCUAUCUUAAUGAUUACAUUUUCUUUGUAUUUUGUAGGGUUUGUUGGAUAGGUCAAUACUACCUCGCUUUGAGAACGCGAGCUCACAGGUAUGGCCAUUGGAAUUAGGGAAGUACCUAUGGUUUCGGGGUUCUCACCAUCGUUUGAGCUCCUAGAGGGUUUGCUACUAUCACUAGAACUCGAUUCUUUGCUGCUAUUACUGCUACUCGACAUUAUGAUUUUCAAAUAAUUAACAACUUAAAGGCAUGAUCUCUUACCUUUUUGAAAGGGCACUCACAGACUCGCUAUCCCUGAACUCGAGCUUUCUUUUACUGGAGAGUGAAAAGUGAAAGUGAAAUGUGGGGACUAUUUAUAGGGGUCUUUGGAAUGUCAACGAUCUAUUAAUCCUGGCCUUUGAACGAAGACACGUGGCGGCCAUCCAAGAUCGUGACCUAACAUUGCACGUGGCAGCCAUCUAAGGUCGUUCUCUAACAUCCAAUCGAACACCUGACACGUGGAAAGACACCUGGACAUCUAUGCCUUUACAUCUUCACUUGUAGAUCAAGCUUGGACAGGAGUCUACGACCUUGAUGCACAGGGGCCUGUGAUGACCUUAGAUCUUGUAAUCCCGAACUCGAUCCCUGAACCCCGACCUUGACAUCACCCAAAACUACGAAAUCAAGGUCGGGCCUUUGAGGUCGGGGUUUGUAUGUCAACUCGCCAGUCCUUCUUAACGACCUAUGAGUGCACUAAUUCUACUUAAGCUACAAUCUUUACCCUAUUUGACUCUUUCUUCGAUUCAAACAAUGGUAGAACACUUGGAAUGAAACACUAACUCCUUAUCCUACGAGGAUAAGGAUCACACAAGGAUAAGUCAUUCUAGGACUCUAUCAUUAACACCUAUAAAUACAUAACCCAGACUCAUUCUUGAGGUACGUUUUUCAUUAUUUUCAGUUUACAGUCUCACGCACUAAAUUUCAUAUCUGACUUAAGUAUCGGAGGGGCGACGAGCACACACCUCGUUGCCUUUAUUGCAGGUAUUCGAAGGCCGUUCGUUUUAAUCAAAGUUCGAAGUUCGAUCAUCAAAUUCGAGAUCUUUCAAAUACUAUUUUUUGGUAGCAUCAGCAUCAAUACGCAAAAUAUAAUAAUAUUAUUAUUAAUAUUAAUAAUAAUAAUAAUAAUAAAUUAAAAUUGUAAGCGCUAGAUAGAGUAAAUUUAUGGUUCUUGAAAAGUGAAAAGGUGCUUUUGAAAUCUGUUUGGCUAAUUUUAAAAAAAAAAAAAAUUUCUUCCAAUUACAGUUUUUGAAGGAAGCUAGUCCACUUAAGGCUUACUCGAAAAAUAUUUCAAAUAGGAAGCUUUUUUAAAAAUUAAUUUUCGAACAAAACUUAGAAUAACUCCUCAGGAAAUUUUUCUGGAGAAAGCAAAAGUAAAAAUAAAAUGUUAAACAGGCCCUUAAUAUUUUUAAGCUCGAACAACCCAGAUUUUAACCGACCGCCACUACGUAAAGUUGAAAAUAAAUAAAGCAUGCUGCAAAAAUUUUGUUCAUACAGUUUCAGAAAUGCAAAGGAGAAAAGGUUGAACCCGUGAAUGGAAUUAGGCCCACUAAUUGGACUUAACAAUUCAUCUUGAAACCAAAAGGUAUGUCCUGGUGUCAUACUUGGGUUUUUAUCAUAUAGGAAGCAUUGACCUACAACACAGAAAAUCACAUUAUGCGAAAUCUAUUGAAAUAUUAGAUAAGUUGAAUAGUAUACUAUCGAAUAAUAUAAAUUAAAGAAGAAAAUAAGUUAAGAUCUUAUUCGUGUACUUAUGAUAGACAUAUUUUUCAUCUGUAUCCAAUCCCAAUAAGAAUAGAAGCAAGUCAAUUAUAGCUUGUCUUGUUGUCAUAAUCUUCAAUUUUUUUACGCACAUCCACCAAAAUGUUCACUUGCUUAGAAUGAAAUAAACUUGAUAGUUAUAUGAAUAUGACUUGAGUUACGCAAGUUUGAUUGAGGAUUGAAGAUUUUUUAGUCCCACUAUUGAAUGGCAAACUUGUCUUGAAUUUCGUGUAAAGAUAUUGAGGCAAAGGAAAACCCUAAAAAUGGAGCUAUAGACGGUUUCUAUAAUGGAAAGGCUCGAAAUUGCACAAUCAAUAAAUGAACUUUGAAAGUAGAAGGAGACAUGCAUUAUACAAAGUCCCACUUUGGUGGACACACAUUCUAAAGGAAAAGGAUUAGAAUAGAUCAUAAAGUUUAAUGCUAUGCCCUUAGUUUCUACAGAAUAAUCAUUAUGUCUAUGCAUUCGCAUUACUAUUUGUUCUCUGCUCAAUAAUGAUUGCAACAUAUACUUGUGGAAAGAAAAUAAUUGGACACAAAUCAUUUUUUGUCUCGUGUUAUAUCCAAUAAGAAUAUUUGUAUUUAGACAGUCAAAAAUUCGAAAUGAGUAAUGCUAUUCAUAAUGAAGACUAUCGAUAAUCGUCCAACGUGACAUACACAUGACAAUUUGUUAUUUAAUGCAUUAAUUUGGUAGUUUUUUUUAUUGCCUCAUACAUUAACAAACUGCCAAAUUAAUGAUCAAAUAACAAAUUGUCGUAUGUUUGUCACGUAAAGUAACUAUCGAUAAUUUUCAAUGUGAAUAGCAUUAUUCAUUUGAAAAACAGCACAAACCAUAAUGCCCUAUAUGGAAAACAGUAAAAGACAUUCUCAGAACAAACCCAGCUGUCUGAAUAUGUUUUUGAAAUCAAAAGAAACAAAAAAGGGAACAUAAAAAAAGCCCAGAAAUUGAUUUGUUCCCAAGGAAUUAUGGUAAGAGAUCACGAGAAUUAAACACUCUUUUUAUUCUUUUUAACUUAAUUUGCAUCUUUAGAAAAAAAAAUACACAAAUAUUCCUUAUCAUCAGAACAAUUACCAAGGGAAAAAAACGUCACAUCCAUUCACGAAUUCGAAAUUACGCUCUCAACUAUACAUGUUAUACAUAUAUGUGUUGGUAUUGUCUCGGAUAAGAUAUAUUAACACAUCGCUGUCCAAACAAGCACACAUUUACUUAACAUCUAGUAAUUGUUAUGGAAUAGACAAUUGGCUCUUCCAAUUGUUAGAAAUUUUAAUCGGUUGGACCGACUCUUGAUGGUGUAGACGAAGGAGUAGAUGAAGAAGUAGGAGAUGGCCAAAAUUGGGCAUUCUUCACCUUAGAAAUGCUUGUGAGUACACUUAGAGGUGUCACAUCCCCAAUUAUUGUCACUUUUUUUGUGGGCAAAUCUAUUUUAAAUGAUGCCACUCCUGGAAAAACAAAAAAAUGAAAUUAUAUUAAUCAAUCCGUUUGAAUAUUUUUUUCUUGAAAGCAAAGACACUACUAGCUAGUAAUAUAUUACCUAGAUUAGCAUUGAAAAACUAUAGUAUUUACAUAAACAUAGUAUUGUGUAUGUAUAAGCGAGAGCAACAAAUUAAGUCCUAAUUUUAAUGACUUUAGAGUCUUCUACAUGAAUUUCUUGACGUUUAGUGGAAAAUUCAAAAUAAUAUUUUUAUAGAAUUUGUAAUGUCUUGCCUUCCAUUCUAGAGAUAUGUUUCCUCAAUUUUCGUUCGCAACCCUUGCAAUGGAUUGACACCCUCAAUUCAACAACCUAUAAACAACACAAUAAAAAUGAUCAAAAAAUUAAGUAGCGAUAUUAGAAAGAAAAAAUAAUUAUAAGAAUGAUAAAUGAGUAGAUAAAGAACCUUUAAACUACGAUGACUUGGUCGAGUUGAUGAAGAUUUGUGAAUGUCAAGAUGAUUGCUCAAGUGUCUUAAAGGAAGCUUAGUAUCAUUUGAGCAUGUUGGCGAAGAUUUUUCCACUAGCGAAGAGUACUUCUUCAAGAGCAUAUUCUCAUCCGUGCCUUUUGAAGAAGAUUUAAAGACUGGAUACUGCUUUACGGGCAUAUUCCUAGGAGGAGACUCAUAUGAUCGAGUGGACAAGGACUUGAAAACCCGAAAAUUGUCAGAAUCCAUACGUUCGGUCCUAACAGGCUGAUUACUAGGAAUCAAGGCUGAAAUGCGUUCAGAAUCUGAUGUGAAAUCAAGAAGUGGUUUAUCACUCAAUAAGUAACUUGAAGAACCAAGGUCAUUGACAUCAGCUGAGCUUUUUCUACGAAAUAAUUCACUUUGCUUAGAAGAAUUUUUUCUGUUUUUUUGAUAAUAAGUUCUAGGAUCAAUGGGGAGUUGGGAUGAACAAGGUGGUGGUGCUCUGCUUUUAGGCCAGUCGCCAAGACGGUGAAUAUGUCGGUCGACUGCCUUCAUGCCAUGUGGCAUGGUGGAGCACUGGUCCGUGCUUGAACAUAUGGCGGUGGCUGCCGGUGAGGCACAAAAUAGGUCUAUGGAUUUCAUUUUUGUUUUGAAGCAAAGUGAGAAACUAUUAGGUGAAAUGAGGGCAAUGUGUAGAAAAUGUCUAGAAAGAAUUACUUUUGUGAAAGAUCUUCAAAAUGAGACCAUUCAAUUUGCUUAUAAAGCAGAGGCUUGAGGGAUCAGAAAGAGAGAGGAAAUUUUAAUAAAGAGUAGAAAAAAUAACAAGAAAAUGGAUCUACUAGAAUUGAUGAAUAAUGUUAAACCUUGAAGGACCUUUAAAGUUGUGUUUUUGCCCUUUUGUGUUGUGGGUUUUUCUCAGGGUGGGUCGGGUGUGGGGUAUGGGGGAACAUGGUUGGGAUUGUGCUCUCCUCUUUUGAAACUUUACGUGGUAUGAUGAUAUGAUUACUAGCACUAGUAGUAGAGGGAAUUAGGCUAAAGUUUCAAACUGUGUGAACCUAUAAUUGACAUAUCAUUGUUGAAUAUCAAAACCAAUACCAACCAGUAUUGACCUAUAAGGCCAUUAGAAACCGAAAGUAUAGCCUUGUUGACCCGGGAGGAUAACGUUGUUGACAUCAAAAUUCGGCUAUAUAAUUAUGAUUAUGAGAUGUUCUACUUAGUUGCUUUAUACUUUAUGGAUUUUGACCAUUAUUUUCAUCUUUGUAUUAGUGCGAAAAAAGGUCUGGCUCUAGGGUUAAAUAAACAAACACUUUCGUCAACACAGUAGUGGGACACUCCGCUCGAAAGACUGAGCUUAGGUGCAUAGCGCUUAAAUAAGGUGGUUGAAGAGGUGGACAAGUAGGUUAAAUAAUAAUACUACUUCGAAAUAACUUAUUUCUUAUUAAAAAAAUGGAUAAAAAAUUAUCCUAUAUAUGAGAAAUUUUAAUUUUACCUCACUAUUUUGCAACAACCUUUAACGUCCAAUAAGAUUAAAUAGUACAAGAAACGAAAAUUUUAUCCAUUGAUAAAAUUGAUUUAUCAGUUACAUAUUAUUAUUUUAUGUUUUAUUGAUAUUUAUACUACUAAUAUUGUUUAUAGAAAUAAUUAAAUAAAACAGCUAAAAAGCUCUAGUGUGUGUAUAUAUAUAUCAUCGAAUGGGAAUAUGAUAAAUUUUACAAUUUAUACUUUGCCCUCAAACGUGUGCACUUUUUUUUAGGUAUAGAUAAAGCUGAUUUCUUGAUCGUAUUAAAGAUAACUCGAAAGAAUAACAAAUAAAAUUAUUAUUUUUUAUUUUUUUAUAUCGUUGAAUACUUAUAGUAUAGUCAAUCUUGUCAAAUAGACGACAAAUGUGACUCGAUUCUCUUACGUGAAGAAGACUUUUAAGAUAGAAAUUUCAACAAUGCAGCUUGUACAGGCCCUGUUUCACAGGGCCUGGCAUUUUUGUAGAAAUUUAUGGUUGGGUGGGAACUCAUGGUAAUUGAUUUACAACCACGCGUUUAAGUGUGGGGCUUCAAUUUUAAUGUGAAAGAUUAAUGGGUUGUUUUCGUUGAACUUCACCUUUUCAGUGAGGGUUCUUUCUCUUUAUCUUUCUUUUAAUUUAUUUAUUUCAUUGUCUACAUAUUUGGUUGAUCUGUACUCACAAUAUUUUUAAUGAAAUUUUGUAGCAUCGAACAUUCUCAAUCUUCGAAAAUGUAACAUAACUUAUUAUUUUGUCCAUUUUGUCCUUAUCGUAAAACAAGGGGGAGUCAGAAAUUUUGUUCAGUGCGGACAUAAUUUAACCCAUGUCGAACAUUGUGUUUUUGUCAUGAAUUUCAUGAUGAUAAAACUAUAAAACAAAAUCAUGUGUUUAGGCCUAAAAAUAAAACUCAUGUAAAUUAAAACAUAUUUUUAUUCCACCUCUACUGUUGCUUUUAAAAAAUAAAAAAUGAAAAAAAAGUUUGAGCCUAAAAUUUCAGCUCCGCCCAUGCCGUAAAAGCCAUGUAAAAUGGCAAAUUUGUCAUAACAAAAAAGCAACUAAAUAAAUAAAUAAAGGAAAAGUUGCAGCUGAACCCCUAGAUAUUCUCAAAAAUUACAAAUAUAUCACAAUAAAUUUUUCAUCAUCACAAUCUAAAGGUUCUACAUAUGGAAUUUUCCCUCUUCAAUUUCUGAAAUGCAAAACAGGCUGGAAAAAAUUCAUACGAUAGCCCAAAAAUAAAGGCCAAUAGAGUCCAUAGGAGCCCACAUAAUAACAGUCUUCUCUUUCCUAGGGCUAGGGUUUUUCGAAGUUUCGAUCACUCUAUUCCACUUGUCAACAGAGAGAAAGAAGAAACUUGAAAUGGGUAGGAGAAAUAAACUAUUAAUUUCCAUUUUUGUGCAGUUUUUUUUCCUUUUAUUAACAAUUCGUUAUUUUUAUUAUUUACUUUUGUAGCGAGGAUUAAGGUGCACGAAUUGAGGCAGAAGAGCAAGGCGGAGUUGCUGGCCCAGCUGAAGGAUUUGAAGGCGGAGCUGGCACUGUUGCGGGUGGCGAAGGCCACCGGUGGCGCCGCGAACAAGCUUUCAAAAAUCAAGGUGGUGAGGCUCUCCAUUGCCCAGGUGCUGACCGUGAUUUCUCAAACGCAGAAGGCCGCACUCAGACAAGCUUACAAGAAUAAGAAGUACUUGCCGCUUGAUCUCCGCCCGAAGAAGACCCGCGCCAUUCGCAGGCGCCUUACCAAGCACCAGGUAUACCUGUGAUCAUAUUGUUGAAUCAACAUGUUAAAUUACAUUAACGAAUUUUUCGUGAUUAAUUGAGUUGUUUGUUGUGGAUUGAUCUUUAAAUGUUGAAUAUUUUCAAAUGUUGCUUAAUUAGGGGUUUUCUGGCCUAAAAUGAUAUUUGGCACUCUAGGAGACCCGUUUAGUGAAGAUUUGCUUAUAUGUAUAUUUGAAUUUUAAUCAAGACCAAACAUGUGCUAAAAGAUUUGUUUUGGCGAAGAAUUGAAAUGACAUGCUCUCUGCAGCAAAUAGGUGUUUGAGAGUUAAAAGCGUAAAGAGAGUUUGUUAUGAAUAGUUAAUGUUUUCUGCAUAGUUGAAUUUAAGUAAAGAAGAGGCCUUUAUCUUCUACUUGUAUGGUUAUUCUCCUCUUUUUGUUUCAAUUAUGGCCUUUAUGCUCAUCUUACUCUUCGUAAUGCCUUAUUUAUUUGCUUGUUAAUGUAGCUAAACAUGCUUUGAAACUGUU
rnacentral:lncRNA from 1 species